UACGUAGGGGGCUAGCGUUGUCCGGAAUCAUUGGGCGUAAAGAGCGUGUAGGCGGUCCGGUAAGUCCGUUGUGAAAGUCAGGGGCUCAACCCUUGAAUGCCGGCGGAUACUGUCGGGCUAGAGUCCGGAAGAGGCGAGUGGAAUUCCUGGUGUAGCGGUGAAAUGCGCAGAUAUCAGGAGGAACACCGAUGGCGAAGGCAGCUCGCUGGGACGGUACUGACGCUGAGGCGCGAAAGCGUGGGGAGCAAACAGG
rnacentral:rRNA from 1 species